GGGAAGGCCCAUAGCUCAGUGGUAGAGCAUUUGCCUGGUGUGCAGAAGGUUCCAGGUUCAAUCCCCGGCCUCUCCA